rnacentral:misc_RNA from 1 species
CAGCUUUAUACAGCCUUUGGGCAGAGUGAUUGAGAAAUUGGGAGAGAUAUACCAAAAACUUCUCUUCUCUUUGUUGAAGAAAAAGAAAGGAUCACCUACCCUUUUCCCCUUCCCCUGUUUUCUUUUUGCAUUUGGACUUCUUUUCACUUCAUCUUCUCAAGUUUUUUUCUCUGCUGAAGCUUGAAGAUGGGUGACAAGGAUGAAGUUUUGGAAGCUGUUGUGAAG